CAGCGUUGAGUGUACGUAGGUACAUACAUACAUACGUACUCAACGCUUGCAGUACUGAAAGUGAGCCUCGCGGCGUUGGUGUUGGCAAUCUUCUUUCGGCUUCUUUGCUAUAAUUGUUUGCAAUCGUCGUUGCAAUCGUUUGCUUGAAAAAUGGCGUCAGCGGUAGAAUCGAUGAUUGUUGAUGAUAAACAGAUAUUGGAUAAGCCGGUGGACAGGGAAAAGACUUGUCCACUGCUACUAAGAGUAUUUUGUAACAUUGGUCGUCAUCACAAUAUCGGUGAAUACAGCAGAGGAAACGUGCCCUCGAACGAGCUGCAAAUUUAUACCUGGAUGGAUGCUACAUUGCGUGAAAUCACUGCAUUAGUGAAAGAAGUAAAUCCUGAUGCACGCAAGAAAGGAACUUAUUUUGAUUUUUCUCUUGUCACCCCAGAAAUACGUAACUCAGGCUAUAGGAUGCGUGAAAUUGGAGUUACGUGUUCAGGACAAAGAGGAGCCGACGACAAUAAGACGCUUGCGCAGGCCAGGUUUACAAUUGGGGAUUACUUGGAUAUAUCUAUCACUCCGCCAAACAGAACAACCCAGCCAAUGAUGCGGCGAGGGGGAUUGAGGCAGUACUAAGGCAGCAUAUGAUACAAAUUUUAACGAACGUUCAAGACGAUAUAAUGAUCAUGUAUAUUCAUCUUUCCACUUCACGUUUGCCUAAUGUGAACACGAAGAUUUUGGGGACCAUGAAAAAAGGCUGAAAUAUACUAAUCGAAUAGGAAGUCUAUUCAGUAUUCGUGUCUUUUUGCCAGUUGAAAAUCCAACAAGCUAAAUUUAUUCAGAGCCAGCUUGAUCAUUAUGCUUAUUUACAAUGUGGAUUUUAUCAAAAACAGUCGACACAUAAGUUAGCCGAGUUCUAAAGACAUCAAGGAAACUGCCCUCAUGUCGAUAGAGGUAUGAUAGAGGAAAAAAUCCAUGUUAGUCAAACAAAAAACGUGCAGAAAAGUGGGACUUAACUGAGGCGAACACUGGAAAGAAACUCUCUAGGAGUUGAAACGCAUCACUAAUAAAUAGGAAUGAGCUGAA